UUCAACAUUGAACCUAGUACAGAUUGUGUCUUUUAAAGAGAGCUAAUGGUUGGUGCAAAUUAGCAUUGAGCAAGACUGGAAUCCAGUUCUAUUGUAUGUAUCUUUUGAAAGAAAGAUCCUUUUCUCAGGUUACGAGAUUUCAAGGGCAGCACUAGGCUGAACUUGGGUGGUACCGCGAAUAACUACUUCGUCCCAAGC
rnacentral:ncRNA from 1 species